rnacentral:rRNA from 1 species
AAUUUUGGACAAUGGGCGCAAGCCUGAUCCAGCCAGGCCGCGCGAGUGAAGAAGGCCNNNGGGUUNUCAAGCUCUUUCGGACGNAAGNAAAUCGCUCAUGCUAAUACCCUGCGCGGGUGACGGGAUCGUCAUAAGAAGCACCGGCCAGUUACGUGCCAGCAGCCGCGGUAAUACGUAGGGUGCGAGCGUUAAGCGGAAGUCUUGGGGUUAAGGCGUGCGCAGGUGGUUGAUUAAGGAAGACGUGAAAUCCCCGGGCUUAACCUGGGACCUGCGCUUGUGACUGGUCAGCUCGAGGACGGCAGAGGGGGGUGGAAUUCCACGUGUAGCAGUGAAAUGCGUAGAGAUGUGGAGGAACACCGAUGGCGAAGGCAGCACCCUGGGCCGAUACUGACGCUCAUGCACGAAAGCGUAGGUAGCAAACAGG